UACGUAGGGUGCAAGCGUUGUCCGGAAUUAUUGGGCGUAAAGAGCUUGUAGGCGGUUUGUCGCGUCUGCUGUGAAAUUUCGGGGCUCAACCCCGAACUUGCAGUGGGUACGGGCAGACUAGAGUGUGGUAGGGGAGACUGGAAUUCCUGGUGUAGCGGUGAAAUGCGCAGAUAUCCGGAGGAACACCGAUGGCGAAGGCAGCCCCCUGGGCUGAGAUUGACGCUCAGGCACGAAAGCGUGGGGAGCAAACAGG
rnacentral:rRNA from 1 species